GAGGAAAAGAAACCAACAGGGAUUGCCUCAGUAACGGCGAGUGAAGCGGCAAAAGCUCAAAUUUGAAAUCUGGUACCUUUGGUGCCCGAGUUGUAAUUUGAAGAUAGUUUUCUGGUGCUGGCCCUUGUCUAUGUUCCUUGGAACAGGACGUCACAGAGGGUGAGAAUCCCGUCUGGCGGGGUGUCCAGUGCUUUGUAGAUUUCUAUCGACGAGUCGAGUUGUUUGGGAAUGCAGCUCUAAGUGGGUGGUAAAUUCCAUCUAAAGCUAAAUAUUGGCGAGAGACCGAUAGCGAACAAGUACAGUGAUGGAAAGAUGAAAAGAACUUUGAAAAGAGAGUGAAAAAGUACGUGAAAUUGUUGAAAGGGAAGGGUAUUAGAUCAAACUUGGUGUUUUGUGAUUAUCUUCCCUUCUUGGGUUGUGCACUCGCAUUUCACUGGGCCAGCAUCGGUUCGGGUGGUAAGAUAAUGACAUUGGAACGUGGCACUACCUUCGGGUGGUGUGUUAUAGCCCUUGUUGAUGUUGCCUGCC
rnacentral:rRNA from 1 species